GACGAACGCUGGCGGCGUGCUUAACACAUGCAAGUCGAACGGUGACGAUCAAGCUUGCUUGGUCUGAUCAGUGGCGAACGGGUGAGUAACACGUGAGUAACCUGCCCCAGACUCUGGGAUAACCCCGGGAAACCGGAGCUAAUACCGGAUAUGACACCAGUCCGCAUGGGCAUGGUGUGGAAAGUUUUUCGGUCUGGGAUGGACUCGCGGCCUAUCAGCUUGUUGGUGAGGUAGUGGCUCACCAAGGCGACGACGGGUAGCCGGCCUGAGAGGGCGACCGGCCACACUGGGACUGAGACACGGCCCAGACUCCUACGGGAGGCAGCAGUGGGGAAUAUUGCACAAUGGGCGAAAGCCUGAUGCAGCGACGCCGCGUGAGGGAUGACGGCCUUCGGGUUGUAAACCUCUUUCAGCAGGGAAGAAGCGCAAGUGACGGUACCUGCAGAAGAAGCACCGGCUAACUACGUGCCAGCCGCC
rnacentral:rRNA from 1 species